rnacentral:lncRNA from 1 species
ACUGAACAAUGAUAGCUGCAGGUUAUUCUCUAUGACCAAGUGUUAAUUAUUUUGGACAAACAAUCAGGAUAUAAAAAAGAGUGAUUCUGGCUAGAUUUUUAGGAGACUGCAAAAUAUUUCUUGCUUAGAUCUCCUGUCACAUGCCACUUAUGAUGUCAUAUUUAGAACUGUAAAUCCAUUUACAAGUUGGACAAAUGAUAUCACUGAAAAACAUUUUUGGAGGAUCACCUAACUUCUUCCAUGCAAAUAUAAUAAUAGUACAUCUCUCGUGCAAAUAUAGGGAAGAGUGGUCAUGAACUAUUUUGGGAAAAGGGUACUCACCAGAUGGACAAAGAGAGACUAUUCAGUCAGAAACAGAGGAGCAGAAGAACAGAAAUAAAUAUUAUUAAAGGUUUUGAUGCAGAACAGAGAAAUAUUGGGUAGAAUUAGGAAUGCAGAAACUCUCCUUGAAUUAUCCAGGAAGAUAACCAGCCCAACUUUCAACCCAACUGAGGCCUUUAAAAUGUAUUUUCUCAUGAAGGACAGUCUGCAAGGUGAAAAGCUCAACAUUUUUUUCAGAGAAUGGUGCAAAAAUUGUUUCUGUGGCGACAAUUUUCUUCACAAAUGAAAAUUAUCCCUGUCUGUGAAAAACGCCCAUAACUGAUGUCCUGGGCCCUGCCAGCUUCCAAUCUCUGAGCCAGGUCUGACUUCACUGAAGUCAAGCUAUUUUUCACAACAGGAGGAGAAAAACCUUGUGCUGUGGUGCCACUUGUGUCUUUACUUCAUUCCCACCACCACUGCUGGUGCUGCUCAGUCCUUGGAGGAUUCAUCCAGACAAGGAUCCACACACCUCAGCCUAUGAGGAAAUGCAUAAGGAAAUGCAUAAGCCUUAGGGCAUUCCUGGAAAUGAAUGAGCCCUGUGCUGUGCCCAGGAAAUCCUUCCCUUUCCAGUCAGGCAAGCAAGGAGCUGGUUACGGGUUAAAAUCCACCAAUGAGUAAGUCCCAAGGAAACACAAAGGAUGAGGCAUUUUGGACCAUAUUUGCAGCCAAGGCAGCAGUUCUGGAAAACUAAAAUACUCUGAAAUUUCUGGCCCCAUUCUCUCUUUCUGUAUAGAGUUUCCUUGAGAG